UUAAGCUAGGAAGGCUUAUUUAUAAUAAUCCUUAGCUCCCUGGUUGAUCCUGCCAGUAGUUAUA
rnacentral:rRNA from 1 species